rnacentral:rRNA from 1 species
GACGAACGCUGGCGGCGUGCUUAACACAUGCAAGUCGAACGGAAAGGCACUGCUUUUGUGGGGUGCUCGAGUGGCGAACGGGUGAGUAACACGUGAGUAACCUGCCCUUGACUUUGGGAUAACUUCAGGAAACUGGGGCUAAUACCGGAUAGGAGCUCCUGCUGCAUGGUGGGGGUUGGAAAGUUUCGGCGGUUGGGGAUGGACUCGCGGCUUAUCAGCUUGUUGGUGGGGUAGUGGCUUACCAAGGCUUUGACGGGUAGCCGGCCUGAGAGGGGGACCGGCCACAUUGGGACUGAGAUACGGACCAGACUGCUACGGGAGGCAGCAGUGGGGAAUAUUGCACAAUGGGCGGAAGCCUGAUGCAGCAACGCCGCGUGCGGGAUGACGGCCUUCGGGUUGUAAACCGCUUUCGCCUGUGACGAAGCGUGAGUGACGGUAAUGGGUGAAGAAGCACCGGCUAACUACGUG